rnacentral:rRNA from 1 species
AUUGAACGCUGGCGGCAUGCCUUACACAUGCAAGCCGAACGGCAGCACGGGGCAACCUGGUGGCGAGUGGCGAACGGGUGAGUAAUGCAUCGGAACGUACCUUUCAGUGGGGGAUAACGUAGCGAAAGUUACGCUAAUACCGCAUAUUCUGUGAGCAGGAAAGCAGGGGAUCGCAAGACCUUGCGCCGAUUGAGCGGCCGAUGUCAGAUUAGCUAGUUGGUGAGGUAAAGGCUCACCAAGGCGACGAUCUGUAGCGGGUCUGAGAGGAUGAUCCGCCACACUGGAACUGAGACACGGUCCAGACUCCUACGGGAGGCAGCAGUGGGGAAUUUUGGACAAUGGGGGCAACCCUGAUCCAGCCAUGCCGCGUGAGUGAAGAAGGCCUUCGGGUUGUAAAGCUCUUUCGGCCGGGAAGAAAUCGCACGGGCUAAUACCCUGUGUGGAUGACGGUACCGGAAUAAGAAGCACCGGCUAACUACGUGCCAGCCGCCGCCGUAAGAC